GCCAUUGCAACUUCGUGUACUUCGUUUGUGUCCAAUGGCCAGACCAAGACCGCUUACGGAUCCCCACCUUUAUCAAUACUUCAUACAUACUCGCAAUAUUCAGAUUGCUUUUAUCAUAUUCUUGCUUGUUCUUCGAUUGCUUGCAGGAAUAGACCUUCGUGGUCAGGUUGAUUGUGCUCCGGCGUGGUCAAUAACCUCUCGGAGUUGGUUUAGCGAUUGCUAAGGCGCAACGUCGUGCACGUUUGUAGUCGGAUCGUCAAAGUCGUCUCCACCAAAUCGAUAGUUAUCAUCUCAUCGAAAGAUCGGGACCCUCGCCUCUAUCAAGUGGUAUCAGUUUUCAGGUUGCUCGGUGAGAAUUUCCAGUUUUCCUAGAUUAGAUUUAUUUUCUUACCUAUUGUCCAAGAAAAAGCCACACACAAAAAAAGUUAGAUCUGUUCAUCCUUUAUCCAAGCCAGUCUGAGCCUUUGCAAUUUUCUAUUCACUGCUUGCAUAGUUGAAUUAUCGGUUGCAUCGUCGUGUCAGUUGCUGGUCUUAGCGUCUAGUUCCUUUAGAGUUUCGAGUUCUGUUCACAUUAGUCACGCCGCCGCUGCAUCAUUAUUCCUUCCACUGUCCACCAUCCCAUCUAUUAAUUUCCACCACGUGCUACGCACUGUUCAUUGUCAUAAUCAUAGUUGAGGUCAUUCACAUCUUCGCCUGAUCCAAUCUGCAUCUUAUCUAGUUUGUUUUGGAAAGAAAAAAAAAGAUAGAAAAAAAAGAGAAAAAAAGGAAAGAAAAAAAAAGAAAAAAAGAGAGAAGAAAAAAAAUUGGAUCUAUCUAGAAUCAAUCUCGUACCUGAAUUCGGAUUGGAAUCUGUUUUGUGCACUGUUCAGUAAAACAGGUGUAUCUUCCUCAUACGAAGUCCGUUUUGGCUCCGUGAGUACUCAAAUUGAAGAUAGCGACGAGCCGCAUCUAAAUAGUUGCAGAAGCUAGUUCAAUAUUUGACACCUCAAAAUCGGCUUCUAAAUAGGUCUUUUUGCCCUCCGAAGUUCGUGAACACAGCUUGUUCCAAUUUUUCAGGCCAGUUUUAGAAUUCUUUGACUCCUCAUAUCAACUCGGAAUUGAGUGAUUCUUUUUGCAUUGGAAAGCUUGAGUUAGUAGCAUUCUUUGAAAGAAUUUAUCAGAAAAUUGUCUCAAACUUUUCAAGAGGAAAGUUGGAGAGAGAGUUGUUGUAUAUCCUGCUUGGCAGUUGUUUUUCAUCAUUAUCUUCACUGCCGUUGUGAUCUUCACUUAUAUCUUGCUGUCAAGAGCUACUUAGUAUCCUUCAUUGAUGCUAGUUGUGCUACGCCGUGACCUUAUUAGUGUUCUAGGCUCGCGUCUCUAGUCCGGUCUAGCCUAGGACCAGCACAGUACCGUCGUUGAGCAUUUAUUCAACAUUGCAUCUUUGAAUUGAUUAUUGCUAAUCUUUUGCUACCAUAUAUAGCCAACCCAGCUCCACAUAUUUCUACACCGUGUAUACGUACGCUCCCCUGGCAAUCGCUUUACUCAAUAUUCGGAGUUACUUGACACCGCUGGUUGCCGAUCACCGCCUGCUGCAUGGUAAGAACUUGUAAGACAUUGAUAUUUACUUUACUGUGAGCGUUUUACCACCACAUCCUAGUAUGAUGAGGACAUGACUACCUUGGAUAUGACCAAAAAUAUUGCAUAUAUGCAUAUUUGUCUGGUGAUUUCUAGUGCAAACUAUUCAAUAAUCUAUUUAUGUUAUCCAGAACAAAAAUACUUCACACACUUUUGUGUUUUGUCUAAUUGCAGGUGUAUGGGACAUUUGUACAAUCCACAUAUGAAGAUAAGGAAGAAAGAGAUGUUUAUUUGCUGUCCAAAAAGUUCUCUCACGUCACUUUUGGCCCAAGAGAAGAUAGAGUCCAAGUCUCUCACGUUCUGGAUUCAGAUUCGGACUGCACAGACACACCUGACUCAAAACGCACACAAAUUUUUCAUACGGACUCCGAAUUGGGUGAUUCUUUUUUUGUUGGAAACUAGAUUUCGUGCACUUUCCAACCCAAUUGGAAUCACCUUCAAAUUCGUCCGGAGCGUUGAGUUGUGGACGAAACAAUCUGAUGCUGCAGCAGAAUCCGAGUCAAACUACAAGUCCAAAGGUGUUACAUCACCUCCACUUGGGCCCAUUGGCCUUGUACGACCUAGAUUUAGUUUUAGGCUGCCUUGGGACGUCCUCCCACCUCCUUGGCCACCACCCCUUGCUCCUAUAUAAGUAGAUCCAUCUAGUAGCUUUUCCUUGGGAUUUGUUUAGUUAAAAGUUAGCCAUUGCAACUUCGUGUACUUCGUUUGUGUCCAACGACCAGACCAAGACCGCUUACGGAUCCCCACCAUUAUCAAUACUUCAUAUAUAUUCGCAAUAUUCAGAUUGCUUUAUCAUAUUCUUGCUCGUUCUUCGAUUGCUUGUAGGAAUAGACCUUCGUGGUCAGGCUGACCGUGCUUCCAGCAUCGUCAGUAACCUCUCGGAGUUGGUUUAGCGAUUGCUAAGGUGCAACGUCGUGCACGUUUGUAGUCGGAUCGUCAAAGUCGUCUCCACCAAAUCGAUAGUUAUCAUCUCAUCGAAAGAUCGGGACCCCGCCUCUAUCAAGUGGUAUCAGAUUUCCAGGUUGCUCGGUGAGAUUUUACAGUUUUUCGUAGUUUAGAUCG
rnacentral:lncRNA from 1 species